CUGGUCUGGGGAAAGGCUCCUGUGUGGCUGGACCCGCCCAGCGGCGGGCGCGGCCCCGUACCAGGCAGCCCCACCCUGACCUACAGUAAAUGCCCGGGAGUCUGUCCCGGGCUGGAAUUUGCAGUAACAGGUGUGAACAUUCUAGCAGCAGCUUGAUGGUCAUGUAUGAUACUGCAAACAGCG